GAUGAAGAACGUAGCGAAAUGCGAUAAGUAAUGUGAAUUGCAGAAUUCAGUGAAUCAUCGAAUCUUUGAACGCACAUUGCGCCCCCUGGCAUUCCGGGGGGCAUGCCUGUUCGAGCGUCAUUACAACCCUCAAGCUCUGCUUGGUAUUGGGCUCUGCUGGGACCGGCAGGCCUUAAAAUCAGUGGCGGCGCCACUCGGCUUCAAGCGUAGUAAUUCUUCUCGCUUCGGAGACCCGGGUGCGUGCUAGACAGCAACCCCCAACUUUCUUAGGUUGACCUCGGAUCAGGUAGGGAUACCCGCUGAACUUAAGCAUAUCAAUAAGCGGAGGA
rnacentral:misc_RNA from 1 species